rnacentral:rRNA from 1 species
GACGAACGCUGGCGGCGUGCUUAACACAUGCAAGUCGAACGAAGAGCGAUGGACGCUUGCUUCUCUCAAUCUUAGUGGCGAACGGGUGAGUAACGCGUAAUCAACCUGCCCUUCAGAGGGGGACAACAGUUGGAAACGACUGCUAAUACCGCAUACGAUCUAACCUCGGCAUCGAGGAUAGAUGAAAGGUGGCCUCUACAUGUAAGCUAUCACUGAAGGAGGGGAUUGCGUCUGAUUAGCUAGUUGGAGGGGUAACGGCCCACCAAGGCGAUGAUCAGUAGCCGGUCUGAGAGGAUGAACGGCCACAUUGGGACUGAGACACGGCCCGGACUCCUACGGGAGGCAGCAGUGGGGAAUCUUCCGCAAUGGACGAAAGUCUGACGGAGCAACGCCGCGUGAGUGAUGACGGCCUUCGGGUUGUAAAGCUCUGUUAAUCGGGACGAAAGGCCUUCUUGCGAAUAGUUAGAAGGAUUGACGGUACCGGAAGAGAAAGCCACGGCUAACUACGUG